rnacentral:rRNA from 1 species
UCGAGAAUCUUCGGCAAUGGGCGCAAGCCUGACCGAGCGACGCCGCGUGCGGGAUGAAGGCCUUCGGGUUGUAAACCGCUGUCGUAGGGGAGGAAGAUCCUGUGAAGAACAGGGUUUGACCGAUCCUAGGAGGAAGGGCCGGCUAAUCUCGUGCCAGCAGCCGCGGUAAUACGAGAGGCCCAAACGUUAUUCGGAUUUACUGGGCUUAAAGAGUUCGUAGGCGGCGCGAAAAGUGGGGUGUGAAAGCCCUCGGCUUAACCGAGGAAUUGCGCUCCAAACUACCGUGCUUGAGGAAGCUAGAGGUGAGCAGAACUGAUGGUGGAGCGGUGAAAUGCGUUGAUAUCAUCAGGAAUACCGGAGGCGAAGGCGGCUCACUGGGGCUUUUCUGACGCUGAGGAACGAAAGCCAGGGUAGCGAACGGGAUUAGAUACCCGCGUAGUCC